GAUGAACGCUGGCGGCGUGCCUAAUACAUGCAAGUAGAACGCUGAAGGAGGAGCUUGCUCUUCUGGAUGAGUUGCGAACGGGUGAGUAACGCGUAGGUAACCUGCCUGGUAGCGGGGGAUAACUAUUGGAAAGGAUAGCUAAUACAGCAUGACAACAGGUAUAGCAUGAUAACUGUUUAAAAGGGGCAACUGCUCCGCUACCAGAUGGACCUGCGUUGUAUUAGCUAGUUGGUGCGGUAACGGCUCACAAAGGCGACGAUACAUAGCCGACCUGAGAGGGUGAUCGGCCCCCCUGGGACUGAGAAACGGCCCAGACUCCUACCGGAGGCAGCAGUAGGGAAUCUUCGGCCAUGGACGGAAGUCUGACCGAGCACCGCCGCGUGAGUGAAGAAGGUUUUCGGAUCGUAAAGCUAUGUUGUAUGAGAAGAACGAGUGUGAGGGUGGAAAGUUCACACUGUGACGGUAUCUUACGAGAAAGGGCCGGCUAACUACGUG
rnacentral:rRNA from 1 species